GGCGCUAUAGCCAAGUGGUUACGGCGACAGAUUAGAAUCAAACAUGGGUCUUGAUUAAUCUGUUCCUCUUUGAGGGCGCAGGUUCAAAUCCUGCUGGCGUCG